UACGGGGGGGGCAAGCGUUGUUCGGAAUUACUGGGCGUAAAGGGCGCGUAGGCGGCCUUCUAAGUCGAACGUGAAAUCCCCGGGCUCAACCUGGGAACUGCGACCGAGACUGCAUUGCUAGAGUAUGGGAGAGGAAAGCGGAAUUUCUGGUGUAGCAGUGAAAUGCGUAGAUAUCAGAAGGAACAUCAGUGGCGAAGGCGGCUUUCUGGACCAAUACUGACACUCAGGUGCGAAAGCGUGGGGAGCAAACAGG
rnacentral:rRNA from 1 species